UACGUAGGGUGCGAGCGUUAAUCGGAAUUACUGGGCGUAAAGCGCGCGCAGGCGGUUUGGUAAGUCCGGUGUGAAAUCCCCGGGCUCAACCCGGGAACUGCGUCCGAUACUGGAAGGCUUGAAUCCGGGAGAGGGAUGCGGAAUUCCAGGUGUAGCGGUGAAAUGCGCAGAUAUCAGGAGGAACACCGGUGGCGAAGGCGGGUCUCUGGGCAGUAACUGACGCUGAGGAGCGAAAGCGUGGGGAGCGAACAGG
rnacentral:rRNA from 1 species